GGUGUAAGGAGGUCCCCUGUCUCCCCGCACACAGUGUAUUAUAACUGCAGCUAUAAGGUUAUGGUGUAAGGAGGUCCCCUGUCUCCCCGCACACAGUGUAUUAUAACUGCAGCUAUAAGGUUAUGGUGUAAGGAGGUCCCCUGUCUCCCCGCACACAGUGUAUUAUAACUGCAGCUAUAAGGUUAUGGUGUAAGGAGGUCCCCUGUCUCCCCGCACACAGUGUAUUAUAACUGCAGCUAUAAGGUUAUGGUGUAAGGAGGUCCCCUGUCUCCCCGCACACAGUGUAUUAUAACUGCAGCUAUAAGGUUAUGGUGUAAGGAGGUCCCCUGUCUCCCCGCACACAGUGUAUUAUAACUGCAGCUAUAAGGUUAUGGUGUAAGGAGGUCCCCUGUCUCCCUGCACAGUGUAUUAUAACUGCAGCUAUAAGGUUAUGGUGUAAGGAGGUCCCCUGUCUCCCACACACAGUGUAUUAUAACUGCAGCUAUAAGGUUAUGGUGUAAGGAGGUCCCCUGUCUCCCCGCACACAGUGUAUUAUAAC